rnacentral:rRNA from 1 species
GAUGAACGCUAGCGGGAGGCCUAACACAUGCAAGCCGAGCGGUAUUUGUCUUUCGGGACAGAGAGAGCGGCGUACGGGUGCGGAACACGUGUGCAACCUGCCUUUAUCUGGGGGAUAGCCUUUCGAAAGGAAGAUUAAUACCCCAUAAUAUAAUGAAUGGCAUCAUUUAUUAUUGAAAACUCCGGUGGAUAGAGAUGGGCACGCGCAAGAUUAGAUAGUUGGUGAGGUAACGGCUCACCAAGUCGAUGAUCUUUAGGGGGCCUGAGAGGGUGAUCCCCCACACUGGUACUGAGACACGGACCAGACUCCUACGGGAGGCAGCAGUGAGGAAUAUUGGACAAUGGGUUAGCGCCUGAUCCAGCCAUCCCGCGUGAAGGACGACGGCCCUAUGGGUUGUAAACUUCUUUUGUACAGGGAUAAACCUACUCUCGUGAGAGUAGCUGAAGGUACUGUACGAAUAAGCACCGGCUAACUCCGUGCCAGCAGCCGCCGUAAGAC